UGCGAGGCCGAAAGGCGUAGUCGAUGGGAAACAGGUUAAUAUUCCUGUACUUGGUGUUACUGCGAAGGGGGGACGGAGAAGGCUAUGUUGGCCGGGCGACGGUUGUCCCGGUUUAAGCGUGUAGGCUGGUUUUCCAGGCAAAUCCGGAAAAUCAAGGCUGAGGCGUGAUGACGAGGCACUACGGUGCUGAAGCAACAAAUGCCCUGCUUCCAGGAAAAGCCUCUAAGCAUCAGGUAACAUCAAAUCGUACCCCAAACCGACACAGGUGGUCAGGUAGAGAAUACCAAGGCGCUUGAGAGAACUCGGGUGAAGGAACUAGGCAAAAUGGUGCCGUAACUUCGGGAGAAGGCACGCUGAUAUGUAGGUGAAGCGACUUGCUCGUGGAGCUGAAAUCAGUCGAAGAUACCAGCUGGCUGCAACUGUUUAUUAAAAACACAGCACUGUGCAAACACGAAAGUGGACGUAUACGGUGUGACGCCUGCCCGGUGCCGGAAGGUUAAUUGAUGGGGUUAGCGCAAGCGAAGCUCUUGAUCGAAGCCCCGGUAAACGGCGGCCGUAACCAUAACGGUCCUAAGGUAGCGAAAUUCCUUGUCGGGUAAGUUCCGACCUGCACGAAUGGCGUAAUGAUGGCCAGGCUGUCUCCACCCGAGACUCAGUGAAAUUGAACUCGCUGUGAAGAUGCAGUGUACCCGCGGCAAGACGGAAAGACCCCGUGAACCUUUACUAUAGCUUGACACUGAACAUUGAGCCUUGAUGUGAAGGAUAGGUGGGAGGCUUUGAAGUGUGGACGCCAGUCUGCAUGGAGCCGACCUUGAAAUACCACCCUUUAAUGUUUGAUGUUCUAACGUUGACCCGUAAUCCGGGUUGCGGACAGUGUCUGGUGGGUAGUUUGACUGGGGCGGUCUCCUCCUAAAGAGUAACGGAGGAGCACGAAGGUUGGCUAAUCCUGGUCGGACAUCAGGAGGUUAGUGCAAUGGCAUAAGCCAGCUUGACUGCGAGCGUGACGGCGCGAGCAGGUGCGAAAGCAGGUCAUAGCGAUCCGGUGGUUCUGAAUGGAAGGGCCAUCGCUCAACGGAUAAAAGGUACUCCGGAUAACAGGCUGAUACCGCCCAAGAGUUCAUAUCGACGGCGGUGUUUGGCACCUCGAUGUCGGCUCAUCACAUCCUGGGGCUGAAGUAGGUCCCAAGGGUAUGGCUGUUCGCCAUUUAAAGUGGUACGCGAGCUGGGUUUAGAACGUCGUGAGACAGUUCGGUCCCUAUCUGCCGUGGGCGCUGGAGAACUGAGGGGGGCUGCUCCUAGUACGAGAGGACCGGAGUGGACGCAUCACUGGUGUUCGGGUUGUCAUGCCAAUGGCACUGCCCGGUAGCUAAAUGCGGAAGAGAUAAGUGCUGAAAGCAUCUAAGCACGAAACUUGCCCCGAGAUGAGUUCUCCCUGACUCCUUGAGAGUCCUGAAGGAACGUUGAAGACGACGACGUUGAUAGGCCGGGUGUGUAAGCGCAGCGAUGCGUUGAGCUAACCGGUACUAAUGAACCGUGAGGCUUAACCU
rnacentral:rRNA from 1 species